GGAUGUGAGGGUGAUUGGGCUGCGGCAUAUGUCACUCUUGUUGAUCACUAGGGUUGACUUGGCUGCCCUGGCUGGCUGGGUAACUGUCCCUGUCCUCCCUCACCACUCCCCGUGCCUCCCUCCUGAAGCUGUGCACUUAGUCGCAGAGGACAGUCUUCCCCAUUAGAGGACCAUGCCUCAGUCAAGGGUGUGUGAGUAGCUGUGCUUCCUGCUAGAACCUCUACACGAACUCUAAGGAAUAGUGUAAGGGUGCAUGGCCCUUGGGGCCAGGCUCACGGACCCUGAGGAGAGUCUGACGAA
ensembl:misc_RNA 7SK 7SK RNA